AUAACUUAAUCGCUUAAUCUAACAAGAGCGGGGGAACCAAUAUGUAGCAGUGAGAUGCUACAAUGGGGUGAAUUCUUUUAUAAAAGAUAGGGCUACUCUUAUGCCCGAACCCGACAGCUAACCUCGUAAGCGUUAUGGGAGAGAGAUG
rnacentral:sRNA from 2 species